GAUGAACGCUGGCGGCGUGCCUAAUACAUGCAAGUCGAGCGAACAGACGAGGAGCUUGCUCCUCUGACGUUAUAGGCGGACGGGUGAUGAACACGUGGAUAACCUACCUAUACGACUGGGAUAACUUCGGGAAACCGGAUCUAAGACCGGAUAAUAUAUUGAACCUCGUUGUUCCAUCGUGAAAUACGGUUUUGCGGUCACUUAUAGAUGGAUCCGCGCCUCAUUAGCUUGUUGGUAGGGUAACGGCUUACCAAGGCAGCGAUGCGUAGCCGACCUCAGAGCGUGAUCGGCCACACUGGCACUGAGACACGGUCCCCACUCCUACGGUAGGACGCAGUCGGGACUCUUCCGCGAUGGGCCAGAGCGUAACGUUGCAACACGGCCUGAGUGAUGAUGGACUUAGGACCCUUAAGCUAUGUUAUUAGUAAGGAACUAAUGUGUAAGUAACUAUGCACGUCAUGACGGUACCUAAUCAAAAAGCCCCGGCUAACUCCGUG
rnacentral:rRNA from 1 species